UACGGAGGGAGCUAGCGUUGUUCGGAAUUACUGGGCGUAAAGCGUGCGCAGGCGGUUUUGUAAGCCAGAUGUGAAAUCCCCGGGCUCAACCUGGGAAUGGCAUUUGGGACUGCAAGGCUUGAGUGCGGCAGAGGAGACUGGAAUUCCUGGUGUAGCAGUGAAAUGCGUAGAUAUCAGGAGGAAUACCGAUGGCGAAGGCGGAUCUCUGGGCCGAUACUGACGCUGAGGAGCGAAAGCGUGGGGAGCGAACAGG
rnacentral:rRNA from 1 species